UACGGGGGGGGCAAGCGUUGUUCGGAAUUACUGGGCGUAAAGGGCUCGUAGGCGGCCAACUAAGUCAGACGUGAAAUCCCUCGGCUUAACCGGGGAACUGCAUCUGAUACUGGAUGGCUUGAGUUCGGGAGAGGGAUGUGGAAUUCCAGGUGUAGCGGUGAAAUGCGUAGAUAUCGGAAGGAACGCCGGUGGCGAAAGCGACGUGCUGGACCUCUUCUGACGCUGAGGCGCGAAAGCCAGGGGAGCAAACGGG
rnacentral:rRNA from 1 species